UUGUUUAAAAUGUGAACCAACUGGUCGGGGACAGUAAUCUAAUUCUGCAUUUGGUUUGAGGCCAAUGCAUUGAGGGCAUUCAAUAAAUAAUGGUGUUUGGUGAGCCUUUCCUAGAUCCUGGCUGCUUAUGUCCAAGAUGAAGCUAGGACCUUCAGAAGCAAGCUCAAGAGAUGAUGAAUGAAGGAAGGUGGAGCUCCGAAGACCAUGAAGAACUGCUACAGAAGAAAACAAGCUUUCAAUAAAAUAAAAGAGACAUCAAUCACACAUUUUACCCAUUUAUGAAACAUGCUCAGGACAAGGUACUCAGACGUGAAGAAGCAUUCCCAGGAACCAUCUUGGAGAACUGGACUUGGUAACAUGAGAGCUGGGAAGUCCCAAUUCUUGGUCAUGAAGAGUCUACCACGAAGAGAAUUGGUUUGGAAACCAGAAGGCUAACUUUUACAUGAGGCACCAGGGCUAAUGCCCACAGAUUUCAGAGAGGACAAUAAUGGGUAUUUCUGAUGUUGAAAUCCUAGGAUUGAUCUGACAGCACAAACCAAAUGCCAGCAGUUUCCCUGGAGUUCUGCUGCGUGCUUUUGCCAACCCUGAUGAUCCAGAGGACCUCACAUCUCAAGUGGCUCCUAUGGUGAAGGAACUACGGAGUUUCUCUGAGCACCUAAGAUUACUCUGCUUCAAGGAACUCAUGAGUGUGUGGACAGAAAAUAUCUUUGAGGGAUUCCCAGGAGUGACUCCAAUGAAAGACCAAGAGAACAACAGCUCUUCGGUGUUAAAGCCACAAGACCAAGAGCAGACACAGCAUCCAGAAGAAAACCUCUAUUGGCAAGCACAAGACAGUGAUCACAGAUGUGGCCCCAGACGACGGAAGGACAGGAGUGCAGCACGCUGAAAUGUCGGAAUACUACACGCCUGCAAUUGCCUUUCCCUCUGGCAUUUAAUGAGAAAUAAAAAGCACAUGUGAAGGUU
rnacentral:lncRNA from 1 species